AUAGUGGAUUGUUUCUCGGCUUUCGCCACCCGUGGUUUUUUCCCGUUUUGGGUUUUCCAACCAAAAACAGUACAAGAAUCAAGUAAAAAAGAAGGUAAGGACCCACGUUUAGCACUCCCUAAAUUUGGUCUCAAAACUGCAAUCUCUGCAUAAUCAAUUCUUUUCCCAUUUAGCUUUGAAUUGUGCAUUCCAUCAAAACUAUAAUCAUUUCUUGACUGCUUGUUGAAAUUCGGCCGCCUCCUAUGCCUAAUUAUCCUUGACUUCCUCUCACACGAGCCUAGAGAAGGAAGAAGAGGUUAAACUAUGAGAAAUCCAUAGAAGAGCUGGAGUUUAUUACAAAUCUCCUCGAGAGCCAGGUUGACAUGGUCAAAGCAGAGGCGGAAAAGCAAAGAUUGCAACGCGAAGAGCUAGAACUAAAGUUUGAAGCUUUUAAACAGAAAAUCAAUACCGGAAUAAGUAGCGAUACAAAGAAAGAGAAGUGUCUUCAAGAGGUCCUCAUACGUGUUCAAGUUCUUGAGAAAGAGAUCAUCCAGGGAUGCAGAGAUAUUUCAACAUAAAGCUAUCACCGAGCCUAAACUGAACGCUUGAAGCCUUGGCUGCAAGUCGGCAAAAAGAGGC